UUGAACGCUGGCGGCAUGCCUUACACAUGCAAGUCGAACGGUAGAGGAGCAAUCCUCGAGAGUGGCGAACGGGUGGGUAAUGUAUCGGAACGUGCCCAGUAGUGGGGGAUAGCCCGGCGAAAGCCGGGUUAAUACCGCAUGAGACCUGAGGGUGAAAGCGGGGGACUCGCAAGAGCCUCGCGCUACUGGAGCGGCCGAUAUCAGAUUAGGUAGUUGGUGGGGUAAAGGCCUACCAAGCCUGCGAUCUGUAGCUGGUCUGAGAGGACGACCAGCCACACUGGGACUGAGACACGGCCCAGACUCCUACGGGAGGCAGCAGUGGGGAAUUUUGGACAAUGGGCGAAAGCCUGAUCCAGCCAUGCCGCGUGCGGGAAGAAGGCCUUCGGGUUGUAAAGCUCUUUCAGACGGAAAGAAAUCGGGCGCGUGAAUAGCGUGCCUGGAUGACGGUACUGUCAGAAGAAGCACCGGCUAACUACGU
rnacentral:rRNA from 1 species